AAAGGAAUAGACGGGGGCCCGCACAAGCGGUGGAACAUGUGGUUUAAUUCGAUGAUACGCGAAAAACCUCACCAAGGCUUGACAUAUAGGAAGUAGUGAACUGAAAGGGGAACGAGUCGUCAAGUCCGACAACCUAUACAGGUGCUGCAUGGCUGUCGUCAGCUCGUGUCGUGAGAUGUUGGGUUAAGUCCCGCAACGAGCGCAACCAUUGCCCUAUGUUGCCACUCUGCUCUAUCACUUCGGUGAUUAGCAGAAGCACUCUUAGGGGACUGCCCGGGAUAACCGGGAGGAAGGUGGAGAUGACGUCAAGUCAGUACGGCCCUUAUGCCUUGGGCGACACACGUGUUACAAUGGUCGAUACAAAGGGUUGCCAACCCGUGAGGGGGAGCUAAUCUCUAAAAGUCGACCUCAGUUCAGAUUGGAGUCUGCAAUUCGACUCCAUGAAGCCGGAAUCGCUAGUAAUGGGAGAUCAGCACGCUCCCGUGAAUACGUUCCCGGGCCUUGUACACACCGCCCGU
rnacentral:rRNA from 1 species